rnacentral:rRNA from 1 species
GAUGAACGCUGGCGGCGUGCCUAAUACAUGCAAGUCGAGCGAACAGAUUAGGAGCUUGCUCCUCUGACGUUAUCGGCGGACGGGUUAGUAACACGUUGAUAACCUACCUAUAAGACUGGGAUAACUUCGGGAAACCGGAGCUAAUACCGGAUAAUAUAUUGAACCGCAUGGUUCAAUAGUGAAAGACGGUUUUGCUGUCACUUAUAGAUUGAUCCGCGCCGCAUUAGCUAUUUGGUAAGGUAACGGCUUACCAAGGCAACGAUGCGUAUCCGACCUGAGAGGGUGAUCGGACAAGCUGGAACUGAGACACGGUCGAGACUCCUACGGGAGGCAGAAGUAGGGAAUCUUCAGCAAUGGGCGAAAGCCUGAAGGAGCAACGCCGCGUGAGUGAUGAAGGUCUUCGGAUCGUAAAACUCUGUUAUUAGGGAAGAACAAAUGUGUAAGUAACUAUGCACGUCUUGACGGUACCUAAUCAGAAAGCCACGGCUAACUACGUG